UUAUAAAAACAAAAAAACCCUAAAAUAAAGCAUCUAAACACUCAAAAAAUCAACACAACAAAACCCUAAGUCUCCCUCUCCCUCAUUCGACCGGAUCUCAAAGCACCCUGCCCCCAAACGCCAUUUCGCCACCGACCUUAUCUAAAUCCCCAUCCGAGCUUCAACUUCAACGAAGCAAACAAGGAUUUGAAGGCCAUUAAAAAGGUUCGAUGGCCGUACGGAGGAGAAGGCCUCGUGGGCGGUCACAUGGAGCUGAGGCUGCGGCACAAGGCUGCUGGCUAGGGUUUUGGAAAUGUUUUAAUUUUUGGGCCACUCGGGCUGUGUAUUUUUUGGGUCUAAGUUUUUUAGUUUGGGCCUGCUAUUUUUUAUUGUUGGGCUAUGUAAGAAAUGGAUUGAUGGACUUUAAUUAUUGGGUUUUGUUUUGCUAUUAUGUUUUUUUUUUAUUUUGGUUUUGGUACGGGCCCGGACAAAUUGAGCUUGUUACAAAUAUUUUAGGCUUGAAAAAAUUUAUACCUAAAAGUUUUGUAUUCCAAAAACUUGCAAUAAUACUUAAAUUAAAUUAUUAUUUUAGAUGAGUUAAAAA